rnacentral:lncRNA from 1 species
GGUUGUUCCCCCGGCAUGGUCAUUUUCUGGCAAAUAAUAUGAACCCGAAGGCGGUGCAAAUUGAUUCCUAGGAAGCCUGACCUCCCUGUUGGGAACUACAAAGGGCUGUCCGAGAGGCUUACAAACAGCUGUCCCAGGCUGCUGCCUGGGCUUAAUCCUUCUGAUCCUCUUGGGAUCCUGAAAGCUACCUCUCCUGCAAUGCUAUCGCCACUCCUGAGGUACCACGAGUGGGGGGAUGCCAAGAGACUGCAUGGAUGCCAGCUUAGUCACAGAUCAGCUGAGUCUGAACUGGAGCUGGCACCACCAGCAUUCUGCCGCAUCUUCCUCCCUGCAGACCGUGCCAGCACGCUUGGGCAGGUCCUGCAGCACAGGGCUCUGUAAGGAGCCUAAGAGUCAUUAAUUACAGAAUGGUUAAAACUAAAUUAUCUCAGCUGGACUGUGGGCAGGAGCUGGAAGAAGAAGAAGAAAACCUUACUCUACAAAAUCAGCAGUGAUCGGAUGGGAUUUCACAGCAGAAGUCACACAGCUAUGGCUUUGCAGUGACUCAGGGAGCCACGAGGGGAGGCUUCACAAUUUCUCCCCAGUCAGCUCCCAGCUUUAAACAGCGGAGGAAGUAACACAAAGAAUGCUCUUCUUACACUUCUUGCCAGCAUGUUUGUUGCCAGAGCUGUGUGCAAAAAAUCAUGGGAGAGCAGGAAGAAAUGGCUUUGCAGUGCUCAGGGCUGACUUUGCAACGUGGCAGAGGCCAUAAGAAGGCAGAUUUAUUGGGUCAAAGCAGUUACAGUAAAGGAAGACAAAUUCUGACUCAGUUCCAGGAAUGCCCUGCUUGCACAAGAAGGGCUGUUUCCUCGGGGCCGUCCCAUGCUGCAGCUUGUGCCUGUGCCCCUGGGAGCAGCAUCUGGUCCCAGCAUCUCCAGGACCCCUUUGGGCUGAGGGAGAUACCUGCAGGGAAUUCCCCAGUGCCUCCUUGCCUACAGCUGAGCAAGCCCCCAUCCUGAAGCCUCGCCUUGCACACCCUGGCCUCCACCUCUCUGAGGCCUCCCUGGGCUCACUCCUGUCUGGCAAUCCCUGUGAGCCCCAAACCAGCCCCAAUAUCUUGAUGUCAUCAGCCAAGUGCCAAGCAGAGGACAAUGUCUCCAGGUCAUCUUCAAGUCGCCUCAGCUGGAGACCAAAAUACCUGUCUGGAGCAAAGCUCUCCUUCCUGCUCAGUUUCAGGAUCUGAUCCUGGAGGCUUCUAUGGUUGCACCCAACUAUUUAUUCUUCACCUCACGUGAUUUUUGGAAUUUCCAAUUCAAAAUGUUUUGUGGAUUUUGUCCUACUGUGAUGCUGGCAACCAGGGACAGCACAAUUUUCUUUCUCAAACUGGGUUUUCUCAAUUUUCCCAGUAGGGGCAGCACUUGCUUUUCAAGUGAGUCUAAAGGAAGAAAACUAUCUGUAUUUAAAAAAAAAUGAAUUCCUGUUUCUUGAAUAGCUUGAAUAGUAAGAAUGAUUUCAGCACGAAACUGAACAAAGUGGGUUUAGUAGUUAUCUUUUCUUUUUAAUGUUUAACAUGCUGCCUAAAGCUGAGGAGUGAUUUGUGUCCUGUGUCAUCACAUAAACUGCUAUUACUUGUAUUACAAUAAGGUCUCUAAGUCAAACCUCUUUUUACUCUAGUAAUAAAUAUAAUAAUAAUAAAGAUAUUAUGAUUGUCAUGAUCUAUUAUGGGCUGGAUUGGAGACCUCCAGAGAUCCCUUCCCAGCACCACUGUUGUCAUUGCUGUCAUGCUGUGGGCAGCACUGCCUGGGAAAUUAAGGACACAUUUUAACAGAAUAAUUCUCUGUCCAGAUCUCCCCAUACCUUUUGGGGACACACAGAAUUCUCUCAUAAAACAGCCUAAGGUCCUUUUACCAACUUGAUAAAUACAUAAAAUAAAAGAAAUCUUCAGGGCACCACAGUUCUCCAAGUGAGGACGAGCUUUAUUAUGGGUUCAGUGUUAACGCAGUUUGCACUGUAGCAGCCUCCAGAUGCAAUAAUCUAAUCUCCCUUCAGCAAGGGAGAAGCAAGCAUGCAAGGGGAAAAGCUGACGCCUAGGUUCUCAUUUUUAUGGUGACUUUUAGUAACUUAAAGAUCUACAACCAAAAUCCAAGUGGGUCUAACAUACAUUACUUCAAGAGAAUCAUUGUGUAAACUAUAUAAAGGUCAAAAUCACAGAACCCCCUCACCAUUGCCAAGCAUGGGAGAGAGCCUAACCUCUGCCAGGUGCCUAGAAAAUUUAUCGCUGCAAAAAGAAGGUUGUUAAUGUCUCUGCUAAAGAAAGAAAAGGGAGCUACAAAUCACAUUUGUACUACAGGUCAUCCCAAUUUUAUUGUGGUUCUGACCUUCCUUUACUUGGGCUGCAAGUCCUUCUCGGAGGAGUUGGUAGGCAGAUGUUUUGCUGGAAAAACACAGGAACCAGAGCAGCUCACACUGAAUUCAAGGGGAGUUUUGUCCCGGAGAGCUGGUCAGAUGUGUCAAUCCUAUUAGAAGCAUUAUUCACGGGUCACAGCACUAGGGCUGAAGGUUGAAUAUGUUUGUUCUGCAAAUUGGGCUAAUGUGAAGACCAUGAAAGGGGGUAUGUAUCGUGUCUGGCCUCUUGCUGGAAUCUGAGAUUGCAGUGUAUUACAUUUCCCUGAGAUUACAUUACCUCAGAUACGAUUUUAUGGUAACUUACAGCUAGGAAAGGCUGUAAUUUCAUUAAUAAUGGCUACCUUCUUUUUAGCAUUUGAUACAAUGCAAGCAAAACUUUUUUCCUCUUUGUUCGGAAUUAGACAGAGGGAAAAAAAUAAAUCUGAAGACCCUCGAUUUGGUCAAAGCACAGACUUGCUCCUGACAGGCGCUGUGAUACCAGGUAACGUGUCAGCUGGCAAGGCAAGAGGUUUCGAAUAAAAAUGUAGAUCACGGAGAUAGCAUCUUGAAAGGUCACCUAAAGCUAAGAUCAACAGAGCAGCCCCAUCCUAAAAUAAGCUGUGAGUAGCUUCAAUGCCUCUUUUUGCCCAGUCGCACACUGCUGCCUGGGAAACAGAUGGGGAGCAGGGGACUUCACAUGGCUUUACCAAGCACCACU